UAGAGUUUGAUCCUGGCUCAGGAUGAACGCUGGCGGCGUGCUUAACACAUGCAAGUCGAACGAUGAUCCCCAGCUUGCUGGGGGGAUUAGUGGCGAACGGGUGAGUAACACGUGAGUAACCUGCCCUUAACUCUGGGAUAAGCCUGGGAAACUGGGUCUAAUACCGGAUAUGACUCCUCAUCGCAUGGUGGGGGGUGGAAAGCUUUAUUGUGGUUUUGGAUGGACUCGCGGCCUAUCAGCUUGUUGGUGAGGUAAUGGCUCACCAAGGCGACGACGGGUAGCCGGCCUGAGAGGGUGACCGGCCACACUGGGACUGAGACACGGCCCAGACUCCUACGGGAGGCAGCAGUGGGGAAUAUUGCACAAUGGGCGCAAGCCUGAUGCAGCGACGCCGCGUGAGGGAUGACGGCCUUCGGGUUGUAAACCUCUUUCAGUAGGGAAGAAGCGAAAGUGACGGUACCUGCAGAAGAAGCGCCGGCUAACUACGUGCCAGCAGCCGCGGUAAUAC
rnacentral:rRNA from 1 species